GUGGGGAAUAUUGGACAAUGGGGGGAACCCUGAUCCAGCCAUGCCGCGUGUGUGAAGAAGGCCUUUUGGUUGUAAAGCACUUUAAGCGAGGAGGAGGCUACCGAGAUUAAUACUCUUGGAUAGUGGACGUUACUCGCAGAAUAAGCACCGGCUAACUCUGUGCCAGCAGCCGCGGUAAUACAGAGGGUGCAAGCGUUAAUCGGAUUUACUGGGCGUAAAGCGCGCGUAGGUGGCCAAUUAAGUCAAAUGUGAAAUCCCCGAGCUUAACUUGGGAAUUGCAUUCGAUACUGGUUGGCUAGAGUAUGGGAGAGGAUGGUAUAAUUCCAGGUGUAGCGGUGAAAUGCGUAGAGAUCUGGAGGAAUACCGAUGGCGAAGGCAGCCAUCUGGCCUAAUACUGACACUGAGGUGCGAAAGCAUGGGGAGCAAACAGGAUUAGAAACCCUAGUAGUCC
rnacentral:rRNA from 1 species